CAGACUCUCCGAGUCGCAAAUGGGAAGACGGAUUCUCAGACAAGGCUUGCGGAUGCCCCGCGGCCAUCAUUUAACUGCGCCCGCAGAGCAGUUACGGUUUGUCACUCGACCCUCCCGGAUCGCCUCGUUUGUCCCUAGUGAGACCCCGAGGCUCUGCCCGCGCCGGGCUUCUCAAUAGCUGGAUGCAUGUCGUGCUCCGGGCAGCGCGGGCGCAGGGCACGCGUUCGCGCACACCCGCGCACACACGAAAACGCGCAAGAGCUGAACCGAGACGGGUUUCCAUUUCCAAAAAGGAGACUGCCUCUAUCCCGAUUUUACAAGAGACCGCGGUGUGAAUUAGGGACUGGGAGGCGUCAUAGAGGAGGAACAGUCCAUCUCAGAGGUACCUGGAUCUAAAUGCACGCACACACACGCAGACACAGGCGCGCGCGUCUACACGGACAGGCUGUGUGCGGGUGUGCGCGUGUGUGAACUCCCACAUGCUGCUGCUGCUGUCUGCUUCUGGCCAGUGGCACCGAUGCCUCCCUCCUCCCUGCACGCCCCCAGAUUCCCCUCCCCUCCCCGUUGCUUUUGUCUGGAGGGUGUUAUGGGUUUGUGUGUGUAUGAGCGUGUGUGUUUUUGGAUUUCAGACUAAUUUUCUGGAGUUUCUGCCCCUGCUCUGCGUCAGCCCUCACGUCACUUCGCCAGC
rnacentral:lncRNA from 1 species